AGACCGUCUCUGGUUAAAUUAGUUCUACACCAAGCCUUUAGGUGGCAGUAAAACGAAUUGGCACAAUGCGAAUUCCACACACAAGCCACAAAGAAGCCAUCAGCCGCGGUCAACAGCACCUUCCUGAUUGAACAGAACCACGCGUUGUCUGUGUGGUUUACAAGUUUCUUGGCGAUAUGGGGGGAAAGUUCCUCACAUACCAACGGAAAAUGGGCUUCAUAUACAUGCUGCUGUCUCAUAAUAUGGCGAAGACGAGUCACCUGAAGGCCUAACUCGCCAUAGAAGACUGAAAGAAUUGUCCUGCAGGAUGCUGUGUCCUGCAAUCCUGUGUGCUGUGCUACAGACGCGUGUGGAGGUCAACCCAAAAUGGGCACAGUCUCACCACAGAAGAGUGAAAGAGGAUCCUGGCAGGGAGACGGUAGUGUCCUGCAGAAUGGUGAUGGGCCAAUCUUACAAGAGACCACAGAAAACUGAUAUAGUGAACUAUAGAAACAACAGUGCCUGCUGCAGUAUAACGAGGACACCCUGAGCAGAGAGCUCCAAUAGACCCAGGUCCAGUGUCUUGGCAGGGUGAAAUGGCACUGAUAUGGUGUCCUGCAGGAUGCUGUGUCCUGCAAUCCUGUGUGCUGUGCUACAGACGCGUGUGGAGGUCAACCCAAAAUGGGCACAGUCUCACCACAGAAGAGUGAAAGAGGCUCCCAGAAGUGAGACUGAGUGCCUGUUGCAGUAUGACGAGGACGCAGUGACCAGAGACCUUCAGUAGACCCUGCUGGCAUGAUUGGCGUCUGAAGAACAUGAAAUCAACAGCAAUGUUUAUAAUGUUGUACAUACCUGUAUAGUCUGUAUUAAAAGGCAGUACCUGUA